AGGCGUGGCUUCCGGAGCUAACGCGUUAAGUCGNCCGCNUGGGGAGUACGGCCGCAAGGUUAAAACUCAAAUGAAUUGACGGGGGCCCGCACAAGCGGUGGAGCAUGUGGUUUAAUUCGAUGCAACGCGAAGAACNUUACCUACUCUUGACAUCCAGAGAACUUNNCAGAGAUGNNUUGGUGCCUUCGGGAACUNUGAGACAGGUGCUGCAUGGCUGUCGUCAGCUCGUGUUGUGAAAUGUUGGGUUAAGUCCCGCAACGAGCGCAACCCUUAUCCUUUGUUGCCAGCGCGUGAUGGCGGGAACUCAAAGGAGACUGCCGGUGAUAAACCGGAGGAAGGUGGGGAUGACGUCAAGUCAUCAUGGCCCUUACGAGUAGGGCUACACACGUGCUACAAUGGCGUAUACAAAGGGAAGCGACCCCGCGAGGGCAAGCGGAACUCAUAAAGUACGUCGUAGUCCGGAUUGGAGUCUGCAACUCGACUCCAUGAAGUCGGAAUCGCUAGUAAUCGUAGAUCAGAAUGCUACGGUGAAUACGUUCCCGGGCCUUGUACACACCGCCNNUCACACCAUGGGAGUGGGUUGCAAAAGAAGUAGGUAGCUUAACCUCCGGGAGGG
rnacentral:rRNA from 1 species